rnacentral:rRNA from 1 species
GAUGAACGCUAGCGGCAGGCUUAAUACAUGCAAGUCAAGGGGGUAGCAAUACAACCGGCGCACGGGUGAGUAACGCGUACACAACAUACCAUAUACUGGAGUAUAGCUUUGGGAAACUGAAGGUAAUCCUCCAUAACAUUGCGAGAGGGCAUCUGAUUGCAAUUAAAGUUCCGGCGGUAUAUGAUUGGUGUGCGUUUGAUUAGCUAGUUGGUAGGGUAACGGCCUACCAAGGCGACGAUCAAUAGCUGGCGUGAGAGCGCGACCAGCCACACUGGAACUGAGACACGGUCCAGACUCCUACGGGAGGCAGCAGUAGGGAAUAUUGGACAAUGGGCGAAAGCCUGAUCCAGCCAUGCCGCGUGAUAGAUGAAGGCCCUCUGGGUUGUAAAUAUCUUUUAUCUGGGAAGAAACUCCUCUAUUCUUAGAGGCCUGACGGUACCAGAGGAAUAAGCACCGGCUAACUCCGUGCCAGCAGCCGACGG